ensembl:snoRNA
UGAUGACAUUGUCUGAAAUUGCUGAACUACUUUGAUGAAAAUAUAUUUGAACUCUUCCCUCUGAUCACUGAGCAUUUUGAC